rnacentral:rRNA from 1 species
AUUGAACGCUGGCGGCAGGCUUAACACAUGCAAGUCGAGCGAGCGGCGGACGGGUGAGUAAUGUCUGGGAAACUGCCUGAUGGAGGGGGAUAACUACUGGAAACGGUAGCUAAUACCGCAUACCAUCAGAUGUUCCCAGAUGGGAUUAGCUAGUGGGUGGGGUAAUGGCUCACCUCGGCGACGAUCCCUAGCUGGUCUGAGAGUAGGCCCAGCAAAACGGGAACGGAGACACGGUCCAGACUACGACGGGAGGCAGCAGUGGGGAAUAUUGAACAAGGGGCGAAAGCCUGAUGCAGCCAUGCCGCGUGUGUGAAGAAGGCCUUCGGGUUGUAAAGCACUUUCAGCGAGGAGGCGUUACUCGCAGAAGAAGCACCGGCUAACUCCGUGCCAGCAGCCGCGGUAAUUC